UACGUAGGGUGCGAGCGUUAAUCGGAAUUACUGGGCGUAAAGAGUGCGCAGGCGGCCGAGCAUGUCGAGUGUGAAAGCCCCGGGCUUAACCUGGGAAUUGCAUUCGAUACUGGAUCGCUAGAGUUCGGCAGAGGGAAGUGGAAUUUCUGGUGUAGCGGUGAAAUGCGUAGAUAUCAGAAGGAACAUCAGUGGCGAAAGCGACUUCCUGGACCAGAACUGACGAUCAGGCACGAAAGCGUGGGGAGCAAACAGG
rnacentral:rRNA from 1 species